AUGCGGCUUUUAUGGGCUUAGGGCUCUAAAUCGGCAGAUAGGUCUAAUGGGAGCUAUAUCUUAAUAUGGUCCGAUCUGGACCAUAUUCGAAGCAGUCUUGAUACAACUCACUAUACCAAAUUUUUCCGAAAUCGUGUAAUAAAUGGCCUGUUAUUAGCCUAAGACCCAAAAUCGCAGAUUGGCCUAUAUGGCAACUAUAUCAAAAUAUGUUACGAUCUGGAUACUACUUUGUUCGAAUACCGAUGGGCCUAGGGAAACUCACUAUUCUGAAUAUCAGAAAAAUCGAGUAAAAAUGGCCCUUUUGGGGACUUAAGACUAUAAAUAGACAAGCUAUAUGUAUUUAUAGGAGACCACCAUAGCGCAGAGGUUACCAUGUCCGCCUAUGACGCUGAACGCAUGUGUUCAAAUCCUAGCGAGAUCAUCAGAAAAAAAUUGUCAGCGUUGGUUUUCCCCUCCUAAUGCUGGCAAAAUUUGUGAGGUACUACUCCAUGUAAAACUUCUCUCCAAAGAGGUGUCGCAAAGCGGCACGCCGUUCGGACGAAAAAAAAAAAAAAAAACUUAUUUUCCAGGCUGAAUUUCAGUUUUCCCUAGGAAAACCUUAUUCAGCCAGGCUGAAUUUCAGUAUUCCUAUGGAAAACGUUAUUCAGCCAGGCUGAAUUUCAGUAUUCCUAUGGAAAACCUUAUUCAGCCAGGCUGAAUUUCAGUAUCCCUAUGGAAAACCUUAUUCAGCCAGGCUGAAUUUCAGUUUUCCUAUCGAAAACCUUAUUCAGCCAGACUUAUUUUAAGUUUUCCUAUGUAAAACCUUAUUCAGCUGGGUUGAAUUUCAAUGUUCCCAUCGAAAACUUAUUUCAGCCAGCCCGAAUUAAAUAAAAUGUAGUGCGCUCCAUGACUAAUCGAAUUUUACCCACUAUUACUUUUGCAAUUUCCUUUAAAUAGAGGCCAAAGCAAACAUUCAACUCAAAAAGAAUCAAUUGAAUGUUAAGCUUUCAAUUGAAACUUUGUUCGAUUUCCUAAUCAAAACAGAUUAAAUAAUGAGCUGAGUGCGAAAGCAAACACAUUCAGAUCAUUUGAAUUGCUAAUUAUUCGACAUGAUUUUCCACACAUUAAACAGAAAACAGAAACCCAUAUUUCAAUUGAAGUUUAGCACUUGAGUUUGAAUGUUCAUUUCGUUUUUAUAAAUCUGUCGUUAGUUAUAAACGUUUUCAUUGACAACGCUCACUGCUGUGGAAUAUGUGUAUAUAUGCUUUGGCAAAAUGCAUAAAGAAGGCCUUUAGCUGUUUGGUUAAUACAUAUGUAGUAAAUGGGCCAGUUUAUGUGGUACACGUCCAUAAUCAUGGCCUAAGGAAAAGAAAGGCCAAAAGGCGAUUUAAAAAGUCAAUGGUGGUCAGAGAAUCAUAGGUCCGAGACAAGUGCGAAACACAACGUGAUGCAAUUUUUGCAAAAUCGUAUCAAAAAAGGCUUUCCAGCAAAGCUGGAUUAAAGCAACGAUUUUUGCUUUAUCAGGACGGAAUACCUGGUUUACGACGAAUUUGUGUCAAGCUGAAACAAUUCACCCCUGUGUUUUUUCCAACUUCAGUGGCCUUAUUUUGUCUGCUGAAUGCUUGGCUUAAAGUCAACAGCUAAUAUAGCUAUUCUCUCACUAAUCCCUUCAUUGAUUUUAUAUCAAUGAAUAACAUUUUAGUCUUAUGUGUAUUAAAAUUUUUAUAAAAGUCUUAUAAAUUGGAAACUUACCAAUAAAAACUAAAAUCCCAGCUACCUUAACCAAAUAUUGGUAUGAGAUGUUUGGGAGUGCUUAACUGAUAUUUAACAGAUAAUAA